rnacentral:rRNA from 1 species
GAUGAACGCUGGCGGCGUGCCUAAUACAUGCAAGUCGAGCGAACGGACGAGAAGCUUGCUUCUCUGAUGUUAGCGGCGGACGGGUGAGUAACACGUGGAUAACCUACCUAUAAGACUGGGAUAACUUCGGGAAACCGGAGCUAAUACCGGAUGAUAUUUUGAACCGCAUGGUUCAAAAGUGAAAGACGGUCUUGCUGUCACUUAUAGAUGGAUCCGCGCUGCAUUAGCUAGUUGGUAAGGUAACGGCUUACCAAGGCAACGAUGCAUAGCCGACCUGUGAGGGUGGUCGGCCACACUGGAACUGAGACACGGUCCAGGCUCCUACGGGAGGCAGCAGUAGGGAAUCUUCCGCAAUGGGCGAAAGCCUGACGGAGCAACGCCGCGUGAGUGAUGAAGGUCUUCGGAUCGUAAAACUCUGUUAUUAGGGAAGAACAUAUGUGUAAGUAACUGUGCACAUCUUGACGGUACCUAAUCAGAAAGCCACGGCUAACUACGUG